rnacentral:rRNA from 1 species
AUUGAACGCUAGCGGGAUGCUUUACACAUGCAAGUCGAACGGAGUGGCGGACGGGUGAGUAAUAUAACGGAACGUGCCCAGUAGCGGGGGAUAACUACUCGAAAGAGUGGCUAAUACCGAAUACUAUUAGAGCGGCCGAUAUAGUAUUAGCUAGUUGGUGGGGUAAAGGCUCACCAAGGCAACGAUCAGCAGCUGGUUUGAGAGGACGACCAGCCAGUCUGGGACUGAGACACGGCCCAGACUCCUACGGGAGGCAGCAGGGGGGAAUUUUGGACAAUGGGGGAAACCCUGAUCCAGCCAUCCCGCGUGUAUGAUGAAGGCCUUCGGGUUGUAAAGUACUUUUGGCAGAGAAGCGGUAUCUGCAGAAUAAGCACCGGCUAACUACGUGCCAGCCGCCGCGGUAAUU